AACACAGUCUAAUAGGUUGUUAUCCAUCACGCCCUUUUCAAUGACAGGAACACAGUCUAUAGGUUGUUAUCCAUCACGCCCUUUUCAAUGACAGGAACACAGUCUAUAGGUUGUUAUGCAUCACGGUAAAUGCUCAUGGCUCAUUCAACAAGGCGUGUCGACCUAACAGAGCUAAGCCCUUUUCAAUGACAGGAACACAGUCUAUAGGUUGUUAUCC